rnacentral:rRNA from 1 species
GACGAACGCUGGCGGCGUGCUUAACACAUGCAAGUCGAACGGAAAGGCCCUGCUUGUGUGGGGUGCUCGAGUGGCGAACGGGUGAGUAACACGUGAGUAACCUGCCCUUGACUUUGGGAUAACUUCAGGAAACGGGGGCUAAUACCGGAUAGGAGCUCAUGCUGCAUGGUGGGGGUUGGAAAGUUGAGGCGGGUGGGGAUGGACUCGCGGCUUAUGAGCUUGUUGGUGGGGUAGGGGCUUACCAAGGCAUUGACGGGUAGCCGGCCUGGGAGGGUGACCGGCCACAUUGGGACUGCGAUACGGCCCAGACUCCUACGGGAGGCAGCAGUGGGGAAUAUUGCACAAUGGGCGGAAGCCUGAUGCAGCAACGCCGCGUGCGGGAUGACGGCCUUCGGGUUGUAAACCGCUUUAGCCUGUGACGAAGCGUGAGUGACGGUAAUGGGUAAAGAAGCACCGGCUAACUACGUG